rnacentral:rRNA from 1 species
GACGUAGGAGGCGAGCGUUGUCCGGAGUUACUGGGCGUAAAGGGUAGGUAGGUGGUCUCAUUUGUCUGGGGUGAAAGCCUUGAGCUUAACUCAAGAAGUGCCCCGGAAACGGUGAGACUGGAGUCCCGGAGAGGGUCGUGGAAUUCCCGGUGUAGCGGUGAAAUGCAUUGAGAUCGGAAAGAACACCAACGGCGAAAGCACUCUGCUGGGCCGACACUGACACUGAGAGACGAAAGCUAGGGGAGCAAAUGGG